UUAAGUUCAGCGGGUAUCCCUACCUGAUCCGAGGUCAACCUGAAAAAAAUUGGGGGUUGCUGGCGAGCACACACCCGGACCUCCAGAGCGAGAAGAAUUACUACGCUUAGAGUGUGCUCCAACUCCGCCACUGACUUUAAGGAGCUACGCCGCAAGGGCGUAGGCUCCCAACGCUAAGCUACAGGGCUUAAUGGUCGAAA
rnacentral:misc_RNA from 1 species